GCGCCUGUGGCUCAAAGGAGUAGAGCGCUGGCCUCAUAUGCCAGAGGUGGCGUGUUCAAACCCAGCCCUAGCCA
rfam:Otolemur garnettii contig016766, whole genome shotgun sequence.